UAGGGAAUCUUCCGCAAUGGACGAAAGUCUGACGGACCAACGCCGCGUGAGUGAAGAAGGAUUUCGGUUCGUAAAACUCUGUUGUUAGGGAAGAAAAAAUGUAUAGUAACUAUAUACAAAAGAGACGGUACCUAACCAGAAAGCCACGGCUAACUACGUGCCAGCAGCCGCGGUAAUACGUAGGUGGCAAGCGUUGUCAGGAAUUAUUGGGAGUAAAGCGCGCGCAGGUGGUUUAGAAAGUCUGAUGUGAAAGCCCACGGCUCAAACGUGGAGGGUCAUUGGAAAAUAAUAAACUUGAGUGCAGGAGAGAAAAGUGGAAUUCCUAGUGUAGCGGUGAAAUGCGUAGAGAUUAGGAGGAACACCGGUGGCGAAAGCGGCUUUUUGGCCUGCAACUGACACUGAGGCGCGAAAGCGUGGGGAGCAAACCGG
rnacentral:rRNA from 1 species